CUGGGACCACAAGGAGCCUCAACAAUGAAGGGGCUCAGUGGGUAAGAAAGCCCAGUGCUUGUCUGUCUGGGGGCUACCACAUCCCCACUGUUGGUCUGAACUUUACCAGAGCCUUCACACACACUCAGUGUGUGCACAUAUACACACACUCACAUGCACAUAUAAUCACCUUUAGUGUACAAACGCACACCCCCCACAUUUAAAUUGGUCUUCGACCAGGGUUGCAAGCAGGACUGUGGCCAACACACACAGUGGCUGUGUGUGUAAAUUAGCAAAACUGACACC